UCCUUUUUAGUAUAUUUUGUGAGUAUAAUUAACUUCGGAUUAAUAGGACCUAAGAGGAGGGAAAAGGGG
rnacentral:tRNA from 2 species